AUGAACGUUUGCGGUGUGCCUUAUGCAUGCAAGUCGAACGGUUCAACAAGCCGAAAGGUUUGUAGGAUAGUGGCGAACGGCUGAGUAAUACGUAAGUAACCUACCUUCAAGUGGGGAAUAACCCAUCGAAAGGUGGGCUAAUACUGCAUAUGGUAACUAAGCUGAGGCUUAGUUAUUAAAGCCUUAGGGCACUUGAAGAGGGGCUUGCGUCCGAUUAGUUAGUUGGUGGGGUAAUGGCUCACCAAGGCGAUGAUCGGUAGCUG
rnacentral:rRNA from 1 species